rnacentral:rRNA from 1 species
AUGGCGCACGACUUGCAGGACGACUUGGAGUUCGUCGCCGCCGGCCACGAUUACGACGACUUCGAGUUCGACGAUGCCGGUGGCAACGGGUUCCGAACCUCCGGCGGCGCUUCCCAGCACCAGCUGGAUACUGAGAUGAAUGACACUUCAGCCUUGGAGUACAGACAAGGGAAGGACAUGCAAGAGAUACCCUGGGAGAGGUUGAACUACAGCAGGGAUCAGUACCGUCAGAUGAGGCUAAAACAGUACAAGAACUACCAGAGCCUCGCUAGGCCGCGAGAUGCACUGCAAAAGGAAUGCCAACGAGCGGAGAGAAGAGACGCCUUCUACGAUUUUCACUUGAAUACAAGACAUGUCAAGCCAACAAUAGUGCACUUCCAGCUGAGGAACCUCCUGUGGGCUACGUCCAAGCAUGAUGUGUACGUGACACAGAACUAUUCUGUGAUGCAUUGGUCAUCCCUACUCCGGAGAGGAAAAGAAGUGCUCAAUGUGGCGGGCCCAAAUCAGGAUAUGCAGGGAGGUCGGCCCUUGUCAAGGGUGCAGAUCAGCACCAUGACGGUGAAAGACAACCUCCUGGCGGCUGGUGGUUUCCAUGGGGAGCUGAUCUGCAAGUAUGUUGAUCAACCUGGAGUGGUGUUCUGUACGAACCUGGCCGGCAACAAGAAGUCCAUCACCAACGCCGUCGAGAUCUACAAGUCACCAAACGGCUCCACCCGGGUGAUGGCUGCCAACAACGACUGCGUUGUUAGAACUUUUGACACGGAGAAGUACAGCCUGCUCGCUCAGUUCCCCUUUGCGUGGUCCGUCAACAACAUGUCCGUCAGCCCCGACGGGAAGCUGCUCGCGGUGCUCGGCGACAGUUCCGACUGCCUCAUCGCCGAUUCCGGGUCCGGCAAGGUAAACAGAGAGUAUGUGCUACAAUUUGGCUCGAGAUUUUCGUGCGAUGUGCUAUGGUUGCUCACCGUCAUGGCGUUGGAUCAGGAAAUCGCGAGCCUGCGCGGCCACGCGGACUACUCGUUCGCGUCGGCGUGGCACCCGGACGGGCGCGUCCUGGCCACGGGCAGCCAGGACAGGACGUGCCGGCUGUGGGACGUGCGCAACCCGUCCGACGCGUUCGUGGUGCUGGAGGGCAGGAUCGGCGCCGUCAGGGGGCUCAGGUUCUCGCCGGACGGCCGCUUCCUGGCCGCGGCGGAGCCGGCGGACUUUGUGUGCGUGUACGACGUGGCGGCGGGGUACGCACGCGCGCAGGAGAUCGAUCUGUUCGGGGAGAUCGCCGGCGUGUCCUUCAGCCCCGACGACGGUGCGGAGGCGCUGUUCGUGGGCGUCGCCGACCGUACGUACGGCAGCCUGCUCGAGUUCCGCAGGCGGCACCGCCACGCUUACCUCGACUGCUACCUGUGA